UACGUAGGGUGCGAGCGUUAAUCGGAAUUACUGGGCGUAAAGCGUGCGCAGGCGGUCCGCAAAGUCUGAUGUGAAAGCCCCGGGCUCAACCUGGGAACUGCAUUGGAAACUAACGGGCUCGAGUGUGGCAGAGGGGGGUGGAAUUCCACGUGUAGCAGUGAAAUGCGUAGAGAUGUGGAGGAACACCGAUGGCGAAGGCAGCCCCCUGGGCUAACACUGACGCUCAGGCACGAAAGCGUGGGGAGCAAACAGGAUUAGAUACCCUGGUAGUCCACGCCCUAAACGAUGUCAACUGGGUGUUGGGGGAGCGAUUCCUCAGUACCGUAGCUAACGCGUGAAGUUGACCGCCUGGGGAGUACGGCCGCAAGGUUAAA
rnacentral:rRNA from 1 species